rnacentral:lncRNA from 1 species
CCCAAACAUUUUUGCCAGAAGUUUUACAACCUGCAGACGUUCUUCAUUGUCAUUGCUCUUAAGUUUGAAUUCAAGCUGGGGUAGAACAGAAAGUAAGAGGUGGCUGUCAAUAUUGUAUAACUCCAGAAUCAAGUCAAACACAUGCUCUGACAGGUCGCUAAUUGAUGUUUUCCCAAGCAUCAGAACCUGAUUGAAGAAAUUAGUAAUGUAUGGUUCAAUUGCUUGUGCUGUCCUCUUAAGCAAAGCUUUUGCCAAAUCAUAGGCUUGUUUGUUUAAAUUCUUAUGCGCUGGCACUAGAUUAACUAACACUGUAUCCAAAAGUUCCUGUGACACAGUAUCUCCCUCACAAAUAAUAGAGCUCAUUAGAUCAACCAUGUGCAUGUGUACUUUUUGGUUAUGUCCGUUGUUUAUUACUGAAAACAGCGUCCUGUACAGUUGUGUGAAAAUCUCAUUGCUGUCUUCUAACUCAAAACAUAUGUUAUAA